GCCGGGCAUGGUGGCGCAUGCCUGUAGUCCCAGCUACUCAGGAGGCUGAGGCAGGAGGAUCGCUUGAGCCCAGGAGUUUGAGGUUGCUGCGAGCGAGGCUGAUGCCACGGCACUCACUCUAGCCCGGGCAACAAAGUGAGACUCUGUCUCAAAAAAAAAACAAAAAACCCGCAAACUAGCCAGCCAUGGCAGUGUGUGCCUAGCUACUAGGGAGGGCUGAGGCAGGAGGAUUGCUUAAAUCCCUGCACUCCAGCCUGGGUGACAGAGUGAGACCCUUUCUCU
rnacentral:sRNA from 1 species